GAUCAGGUCCCAUGCAGUGGGUGUGUCGGACAGCGGGUCAGGCUGGAGACAGCGCAGCCCAACCGGUUCGCUCAGGUGCCGUGGUCAACCUGGUC
rnacentral:SRP_RNA from 1 species